AUUGAACGCUGGCGGCAGGCCUAACACAUGCAAGUCGAGCGGAUGAAGGGAGCUUGCUCCUGGAUUCAGCGGCGGACGGGUGAGUAAUGCCUAGGAAUCUGCCUGGCAGUGGGGGAUAACGUCCGGAAACGGGCGCUAAUACCGCAUACGUCCUGAGGGAGAAAGUGGGGGAUCUUCGGACCUCACGCUAUCAGAUGAGCCUAGGUCGGAUUAGCUAGUUGGUGGGGUAAAGGCCUACCAAGGCGACGAUCCGUAACUGGUCUGAGAGGAUGAUCAGUCACACUGGAACUGAGACACGGUCCAGACGCCUACGGGAGGCAGCAGUGGGGAAUAUUGGACAAUGGGCGAAAGCCUGAUCCAGCCAUGCCGCGUGUGUGAAGAAGGUCUUCGGAUUGUAAAGCACUUUAAGUUGGGAGGAAGGGCAGUAAGUUAAUACCUUGCUGUUUUGACGUUACCAACAGAAUAAGCACCGGCUAACUUCGUG
rnacentral:rRNA from 1 species